rnacentral:lncRNA from 1 species
AAAAAAUAGCUACUCAGACAAGCAGGUGCAUAAAAGGAGAUAAUUCCAACCCAUUAAUUGGUGUCUACUGCCUUAGUGAGCUGGAGAUUGGCUUUUUUCUAAUACUUGGUUCCAGGGACUGAUCAGGAAGUAGCAUAUCUGACCAGAGCUCAAACUAAAGUUCUAGAACCAGGUAAAUCUUUCAGAAUGCAACAAGGGAUACUUUAGAACCCCACGUACACUGGAUCAUUUACUCAAUAUGCCUGUGUGUACUUCUUUUGAGAUCUGACAAUAUUUUUUUAAUUUUUUUUGUUGUUCAUUUAUUUAUUUUGAGAGAGAGAGAGAGAGCAUGAGCAAGAGAGGGGCAGAGAGAGAGGGAGAGAGAGAAUCCCAAGCAGGCUCCGCACUGUCAGUGCAGAGCCCAACACGGGGUCCUAUCUCACCAACUGUGAGAUCAUGACCUGAGCCAAAAUCAAGAGUCAGACGCUUAACUGACUGAGCCACCCAGGUGCCCCUGAGAUUUGACAAUAUCCUUAAACAAAACAAAAAACAUGCUGUUAUGGUGACUCAAAAAAGAGCAAAGAACAUGAAGAGCCUUCGGUCAACUUCUCUUUGUUCAGUUUCUCUGACCAUAACGGGCACAUUCCGGGUAAAAUGGAGGAGAAGGAAGCCGCACCUCUUCAUUCACUUUCUCCUCUCCAGGGAAAGAGCCGGAGGGGUGGGAAGAUAUCCAAGGGACAGGAGGGAAGCCAAGUUCCUUCAGACAGCCCAGAGUAGGCUGUGGCCUCCUGAACCUUCUGCUCCACUGUCGAAAACAUCUCACAACCCGGCAAACCAAGGGCAGAUUCUUCACUAAAGGAGACCAAAGUUCAUUUCUCCAGGAGAGAUUAAGUUGGAGAUAAACACAGCCCUGGGACUUAACCACCUGCCAACAUCAGCAACCCUAGCAACCCUAGAUUCCUAGUGUGGUCCCUCCAGACAAGAGAUUCCAGAGCUGGAGAGCUGCUAUAUUCAAUAAGUAGCUGCUAGGCAUGUGUGGCUAUUGAGCACUUGAAAUAUUGUUAGUCUAAAUUAAGAUGUGAUUGUAAGUAUAAAGUAUGCACCAGUAUUUUCAGAAAGAUUUAUCAUGGAAAAAAGAAUGUAAUGAAUUUCUCUUCUGAUAACGCAUUGAAGCAAUGAUAGUUUAGACAUGCUGGCUUAAAUAAAACAUUAUUAAAAUUAUUUCA